rnacentral:tRNA from 1 species
AGUGCAUUGAACUUAAGAUUCAAAUAUAAAGUAUCUUUAAACUUUUAUUAA